GACGAACGCUGGCGGCGUGCCUAAUACAUGCAAGUAGAACGCUGAAGGAGGAGCUUGCUCUUCUGGAUGAGUUGCGAACGGGUGAGUAACGCGUAGGUAACCUGCCUGGUAGCGGGGGAUAACUAUUGGAAACGAUAGCUAAUACCGCAUAAUAGCAGUUGUUGCAUGACAGCUGUUUAAAAGGUGCAAUUGCACCACUACCAGAUGGACCUGCGUUGUAUUAGCUAGUUGGUGGGGUAACGGCUCACCAAGGCGACGAUACAUAGCCGACCUGAGAGGGUGAUCGGCCACACUGGGACUGAGACACGGCCCAGACUCCUACGGGAGGCAGCAGUAGGGAAUCUUCGGCAAUGGACGGAAGUCUGACCGAGCAACGCCGCGUGAGUGAAGAAGGUUUUCGGAUCGUAAAGCUCUGUUGUAAGAGAAGAACGAGUGUGAGAGUGGAAAGUUCACAACUGGG
rnacentral:rRNA from 1 species